GGGAGGUAAAUUUCUUUCUAAAGCUAAAUACUGGCCAGAGACCGAUAGCGCACAAGUAGAGUGAUCGAAAGAUGAAAAGCACUUUGGAAAGAGAGUCAAAAAGCACGUGAAAUUGUUGAAAGGGAAGCGCUUGCAGCCAGACUUGCCUGCGGUUGCUCAUCCGGGCUCUCGCCCGGUGCACUCUUCCGUAGGCAGGCCAGCAUCAGUUUGGGCGGCUGGAUAAAGGCCUCUGUCAUGUACCUUCCCUCGGGAAGGCCUUAUAGGGGAGGCGUAAUGCAGCCAGCCUGGACUGAGGUCCGCGCAUUUGCUAGGAUGCUGGCGUAAUGGCUGUAAGCGGCCCGUCUUGAAACACGGAC
rnacentral:sRNA from 1 species